rnacentral:lncRNA from 1 species
AAUGAAACAUGUCUAUUAAUUUUUUAACAGAUGUCCCAUGUAGAAGCAAUGAAGGUGAAAUUACACCAAUGGAGAUUCCAAAAUUUACAAACAAGGCAAGUUUUGAUCCUUUUGUAAGGACUAUAGACAACAAAACAUCAGCCAGAAGUAGCAAAGGACAAGAUAUAUACAAAACUGGAAACAUUUUACUUGAAGAGGAUAUAGAAUAUGAAGACCAAGAUCCUCCUUACCCAGCAUUUUCAAAAACUGCAGGAUAUCCCAGUAAUACCUCGGUCCCUGAUCCUAAUAUCAUCACAAAAAUGACGUCAGACAUAAAGAGUAAGUUUUUUAUGAUUGCACUACUGAUGUAAUGAACACUAACAAUGUUAGUCCACGAUCCUCCUCUCAACACAGCAAAGACUUUUGACACUCAGAAUAAGUUAGCACACAAUCCUGGCAUGGCAAUGAAAGCUUUAUACUCU